GGGAUUGUGGCUCAGUGGUAGAGCACUUGCCUAGCAUGUGUGAGGCCCUGGGUUCGAUUCUCAGCACCA
rnacentral:tRNA from 1 species